rnacentral:rRNA from 1 species
ACUCAAAGGAAUAGACGGGGACUCGCACAAGCGGUGGAUUAUGUGGUUUAAUUCGUAGGUAAACGAAGAACCUUACCAAGGUUAGAAAUCCUAGUGAAAGGUCCGGGAAACCGGAUCCCUCGCAAGACUCUAGGACAGGUGAUGCAUGGCCGUCGUCAGCUCGUGGUUUGAACUGUUCCCUUAAGUGGGCUAACGAGCGCAACCCUCGUUGUCUGUUACAAGUGUCAGGCAAGACCGCCCAGCCCAAUGUUUAUAAAAAUGUUUUGUAAAUAUCGGGCUGGGAGGAAGGAGAGGAUGACGCCAGGUCAGCAUGUCCCUCUGAUAUCUUGGGCCACACACAUAAUACAAUGGUUAUUACAAUGGGAUGCAAUGGAGCGAUCCGGAGCCAACCCUCAAAGAUAGCCCUAGUUCGGAUUGAAGUCUGCAACUCGACUUCAUGAAGCUGGAAUCGCUAGUAAUCACAGGUCAGCCAAACUGUGGUGAAUACGUUCUCGAGUCUUGUACACACCGCCCGU